rnacentral:rRNA from 1 species
UACGUAGGGUGCAGGCGUUAAUCGGAAUUACUGGGCGUAAAGCGUGCGCAGGCGGUUUUGUAAGUCAGAUGUGAAAUCCCCGGGCUUAACCUGGGAAUGGCAUUUGGGACUGCAAGGCUCGAGUGCGGCAGAGGAGACUGGAAUUCCUGGUGUAGCAGUGAAAUGCGUAGAUAUCAGGAGGAACACCGAUGGCGAAGGCAGGUCUCUGGGCUGACACUGACGCUCAUGCACGAAAGCGUGGGGAGCAAACAGG